UACGAAGGGGGCGAGCGUUGUUCGGAUUUACUGGGCGUAAGGGGCGCGCAGGCGGCCACUCAAGUCAGGCGUGAAAGCCCCGGGCUUAACCUGGGAACUGCGUCUGGGACUGAGAGGCUAGAGAUCGGGAGAGGAGAGUGGAAUUCCCAGUGUAGAGGUGAAAUUCGUAGAUAUUGGGAAGAACACCAGUGGCGAAGGCGGCUCUCUGGACCGAUACUGACGCUGAGGCGCGAAAGCGUGGGGAGCAAACAGG
rnacentral:rRNA from 1 species